UACGAAGGGUGCAAGCGUUACUCGGAAUUACUGGGCGUAAAGCGUGCGUAGGUGGUUUGUUAAGUCUGAUGUGAAAGCCCUGGGCUCAACCUGGGAAUUGCAUUGGAUACUGGCAGGCUAGAGUGCGGUAGAGGAUGGCGGAAUUCCCGGUGUAGCAGUGAAAUGCGUAGAGAUCGGGAGGAACACCAAUGGCGAAGGCAGCUCGCUGGGACGUGACUGACGCUGAGACGCGAAAGCGUGGGGAGCAAACAGG
rnacentral:rRNA from 1 species